AUGGGAUGGGAGGGAACCUGCGAAGCUCAGAACCGCGGCAGUGGGCCGGAGACUCAGCGGGCCAGGUGCUGUCACAGUUCUUCUGGUCUGAGUGUGUGACUCUCCUGAGAGUCGGAGGAGAUGGCUGCAGGAGCAGUGGCUGGACCCAUCCCUGUGCUGUGCUUGGGCGUUGACAAAUCUGCUGCUACUUUAGUCGGUAGCAGUGGUUUGGCAGUGAUUUGCCUUAAUUGCCAUAUGCGGGGCAGUGGUGCAUGUGGUCAGCAUCCCCCAACUCACAUCCAUGAAGAUUUCUGGUGCCAUGGCAACAUCCCCUACUGCUUUGAACGUGAAGACCUUCAGCCAUUUUCGAUUCACCCCAAAUCUGAAGAUCUUUAGCCAUGUCUGGUCCAACUCCCUUGUGUUUGCAAGUCCAAACAACAGGUCUCAGCAGGGAGCCCCAAAGAGUGGUAGACCUGGUAGACCUGGGCUGGCUGCAGCAUACCUCAAGAUAGAUGGGUCAGUUCUGGGAGUAAGGCAGGAUUCUAAGUACAGUGAAAUUUAGUGGUUUGUUUCCACUGAACCU
ensembl:lncRNA novel transcript